GGUUCUGGUCCAGCCUGGCGCCGAUUCAACCAUAGACGUAUAUGAUUCUGUGGCUUCGGAACCUUCCGUUAGUCCUCAUGGUUCUAUGAGUAUCCAAUCUAAACCUGCAGAUUCUGGGGAGAAGGAGACAACUCUGGUGUAUCAGGCUGCAGAUGACAUAUACUCCGAUGCAGGUCCACUUACCUGUACAAACCAUUCUCAAGCAGCUCAAGGAGUAUUUCAAGCUGCUGGGUCAGCCGCAGCCUCACCAAAGAUCACUCUAGGCACAGAUUUGCAGACUGACGGCAAUAGGAAGGAUGUAGAGGUUAUGUACAGUGUUGCCAACCCAAAAAUCAAUCGACAGGGGACUCC